UCGGCAGCAAGUAAUCAAAGUUUUCCACAAACUCCUCAAAUAAUUCCUCAUUUUCAUACAAGUCUAUAGUGAUCCCUAUACCUUCAUUGUCAACCACACCCAUGAUACAAGGUAAAUCACGAAUUUGACCAGCUCUCAGUAUAUUUGCAGGGCUGUCUGUUAAAAAUGCUUCCUCGAUGUCUAGCUCAUCA